UGGAAUGUUUGUGUAAUCGAAUGUUGUUCUGUGACUGGUCUGUAUGUAUGUUGUGGAAUUCAGCAGGUUAUUACACCUGUCUUACGAGGAAAUUGUUAUCUAUGUGUUUGUCACAUUUCUUCUCAUGGAGAAAUAAACAAUGGUAUUUUAUGA